AGGUUAUUUAGUGCCUGGGAGUCUGUGG
rnacentral:piRNA from 1 species